ensembl:lncRNA LINC01210 long intergenic non-protein coding RNA 1210
GAGGGCUGAGGUGUUCACACCUGCCCACGGCAGCCUGCCUCGCCCUCAAGCGCCUCAAAGCUUCCUAAGCGCUUACAUUGGUCUUGGGACAGCCGACUUUGGCUUCUUUGUUUGUUUGAGGGACCGCGGAAGUGGCGGGGAAUGUGCCCCCGCUUGAGACCGCUUAUUGUGAGCCCUCAACGGAAAUCCUGCACGGAAGGCAACCGCCUCCCCGCUCGCGAUGGACAUCUGAAAUCAUCAAACCCUUGAGAGAAACAGCCCUCAUUCUUUUAUGAGACAACCUGGAAGAAAACAGGACUCUGAAGAUUUGUCUCCAUAUUCUCUGGAAAGAUGUACUCUGUUUGCAAUAAGAGGGAGCCACAUGGUUUAUUAGAUGGUUAUUAAUUGAGCAUUCUGUGCAAAGAAGUUUGUGCCUUAGAUUUAGAAUUCCACCCUCAGUUGGAAUACAGAUGAUCCCUAACAAGUCACAUGAAAAAAUGAACUGUGGAGCCAGAAGAGUGAGUUCUUGGAGAACUAAGGGCCAGAGACCUGUGAGCAAGAUUUGAUAAUUUUAUAAAAAUUAAAAGACGAUUUGAAAUGUUA